rnacentral:rRNA from 1 species
CGUGCGGUUCUGUUUCGUUGGUUUUUAGGACCGCCGUAAUGAUUAAUAGGGACAGUCGGGGGCAUCAGUAUUCAGUAGUCAGAGGUGAAAUUCUUGGAUCUACUGAAGACUAACUACUGCGAAAGCAUUUGCCAAGGAUGUUUUCAUUAAUCAGGAACGAAAGUUAGGGGAUCGAAGACGAUCAGAUACCGUCGUAGUCCUAACCAUAAACUAUGCCGACUAGGGAUCGGACAGUGCUAUUCUUUGGCCUGUUCGGCACCUUGCGCGAAAGCACAAGUUUCUGGGUUCUGGGGGGAGUAUGGUCGCAAGGCUGAAACUUAAAGAAAUUGACGGAAGGGCACCACCAGGGGUGGAGCCUGCGGCUUAAUUUGACUCAACACGGGGAAACUCACCAGGUCCAGA